rnacentral:rRNA from 1 species
AGAGUUUGAUCAUGGCUCAGAUUGAACGCUGGCGGUAUGCUUAAGACAUGCAAGUCGUGCGGUAGAAGGCUUCGGCCUUUGAGAGCGGCGGACGGGUGAGUAACACGUGGGAAUCUGCCUAUUAGUGGGGGACAGCCCAGCGAAAGCUGGAUUAAUACCGCAUACGCCCUACGGGGGAAAGCAGCAAUGCGCUAAUAGAUGAGCCCGCGUAAGAUUAGCUAGUUGGUAAGGUAAAGGCUUACCAAGGCGACGAUCUUUAGCUGGUCUGAGAGGAUGGCCAGCCACAUCGGGACUGAGACACGGCCCGGACUCCUACGGGAGGCAGCAGUCGGGAAUAUUGGACAAUGGGCGCAAGCCUGAUCCAGCAAUACCGCGUGUGUGAAGAAGGCCUGCGGGUUGUAAAGCACUUUCAGUUGGGAAGAUAAUGACGUUACCAACAGAAGAAGCACCGGCUAACUCCGUGCCAGCAGCCGCGGUAAUACGGAGGGUGCAAGCGUUAAUCGGAAUUACUGGGCGUAAAGCGUGCGUAGGCGGCCUGUUAAGUCAGAUGUGAAAGCCCCGGGCUUAACCUGGGAACUGCAUCUGAUACUGGGAGGCUAGAAUGUGGGAGAGGAGAGUGGAAUUUCCGGUGUAGCGGUGAAAUGCAUAGAGAUCGGAAGGAACACCAGUGGCGAAGGCGGCUCUCUGGACCAACAUUGACGCUGAGGCACGAAAGCGUGGGUAGCAAACAGGAUUAGAUACCCUGGUAGUCCACGCCGUAAACGAUGUCAACUAGCCGCCGGCCUCACUCUAGAGGUCGGUGGUGCAGCUAACGCAUUAAGUUGACCGCCUGGGGAGUACGGCCGCAAGGUUGAAACUCAAAGGAAUUGACGGGGGCCCGCACAAGCGGUGGAGCAUGUGGUUUAAUUCGAUGCAACGCGAAGAACCUUACCUGGUCUUGACAUGUAGUGAACUUAGCAGAAAUGUUUUGGUGCCUUCGGGAACACUAACACAGGUGCUGCACGGCUGUCGUCAGCUCGUGUCGUGAGAUGUUGGGUUAAGUCCCGCAACGAGCGCAACCCUCGUCCUUAGUUGCCAGCGGUUCGGCCGGGAACUCUAAGGAGACUGCCUGCGUAAGCGGGAGGAAGGUGGGGAUGAUGUCAGGUCAUCACGGCCCUUAUGCCUUGGGCAACACACGUGCUACAAUGGGAUAUACAGAAAGUCGCAAUACCGCGAGGUGGAACCAAUCUCUAAAAUAUCUCUCAGUUCGGAUUGUAGUCUGCAACUCGACUUCGUGAAGUUGGAUUCGCUAGUAAUCGUAUAUCAGCAAUGAUACGGUGAAUACGUUCCCGGGCCUUGUACACACCGCCCGUCAAGCCAUGG